GACGAACGCUGGCGGCGUGCUUAACACAUGCAAGUCGAACGGAAAGGCCCUGCUUUUGUGGGGUGCUCGAGUGGCGAACGGGUGAGUAACACGUGAGUAACCUGCCCUUGACUUUGGGAUAACUUCAGGAAACUGGGGCUAAUACCGGAUAGGAGCUCCUGCUGCAUGGUGGGGGUUGGAAAGUUUCGGCGGUUGGGGAUGGACUCGCGGCUUAUCAGCUUGUUGGUGGGGUAGUGGCUUACCAAGGCUUUGACGGGUAGCCGGCCUGAGAGGGUGACCGGCCACAUUGGGACUGGGAUACGGCCCAGACCCUACGGGAGGCAGCAGUGGGGAAUAUUGCACAAUGGGCGGAAGCCUGAUGCAGCAACGCCGCGUGCGGGAUGACGGCCUUCGGGUUGUAAACCGCUUUCGCCUGUGACGAAGCGUGAGUGACGGUAAUGGGUAAAGAAGCACCGGCUAACUACGUG
rnacentral:rRNA from 1 species